UUGAAUAUUUCGCUUAAUUUUCUUUUAAGAAAAGCGGGGGAACCACGAGUAACAUGGGGUGAAUAAUGGUACGGAUACCGAGUACCUUUUAGGGCAGAUUUCUCGCGGCCCGAACCCGGCAGCUAACCUCGUAAGCGAACGUGAGAAAGGAG
rfam:Paenibacillus sp. Soil750 contig_14, whole genome shotgun sequence.